AGGUAGAGGCCUUGUCCACCUAAUUUUAAUACGUUCAAAUGAAAGAGAGAAACACAGUGGAAGAUUAAGAGUCACGCUUGACACUUCCAAGAAAAGCAGUUCCUUGUUGAUCACGGCUUCCCGGGCAGCAGACACUGCUUCUUACUUCUGUGCUACGGACGCACAAACCUACAAAUACAUCUUUGGAACAGGCACCAGGCUGAAGGUUUUAGCAAUAUCCAGAACCCUGACCCUGCCGUGUACCAGCU
rnacentral:lncRNA from 1 species